rnacentral:rRNA from 1 species
CCUACGGGUGGCUGCAGUGAGGAAUAUUGGUCAAUGGACGGAAGUCUGAACCAGCCAUGCCGCGUGCAGGAAGACGGCCCUAUGAGUUGUAAACAGCUUUUGUACAAGGGUAAACCUGAAUACGUGUAUUCAGCUGAAAGUACUGUACGAAUAAGGAUCGGCUAACUCCGUGCCAGCAGCCGCGGUAAUACGGAGGAUACAAGCGUUAUCCGGAUUUAUUGGGUUUAAAGGGUGCGUAGGCGGAUUGAUAAGUUAGAGGUGAAAUGUCCGGGCUUAACCCGGGAACUGCCUCUAAUACUGGUAGUCUAGAGAGUAGAUGCGGUAGGCAGAAUGUAUGGUGUAGCGGUGAAAUGCUUAGAGAUCAGACAGAACACCGAUUGCGAAGGCAGCUUACCAGACUAUGACUGACGUUGAGGCACGAAAGCGUGGGGAGCAAACAGGAUUAGAUACCCGAGUAGUC